UUACGGCCGUAUCACGUUGAAACACCGGUUCUUGACCGAUCACUGAAGUUAAGCAACGUCGAGCCUGGUCAGUACCAAGUUGGGUGACCGCAUGGGAAUA